rnacentral:rRNA from 1 species
UGGCGGCGUGCCUAAUACAUGCAAGUCGAGCGGACAGAUGGGAGCUUGCUCCCUGAUGUUAGCGGCGGACGGGUGAGUAACACGUGGGUAACCUGCCUGUAAGACUGGGAUAACUCCGGGAAACCGGGGCUAAUACCGGAUGGUUGUUUGAACCGCAUGGUUCAAACAUAAAAGGUGGCUUCGGCUACCACUUACAGAUGGACCCGCGGCGCAUUAGCUAGUUGGUGAGGUAACGGCUCACCAAGGCGACGAUGCGUAGCCGACCUGAGAGGGUGAUCGGCCACACUGGGACUGAGACACGGCCCAGACUCCUACGGGAGGCAGCAGUAGGGAAUCUUCCGCAAUGGACGAAAGUCUGACGGAGCAACGCCGCGUGAGUGAUGAAGGUUUUCGGAUCGUAAAGCUCUGUUGUUAGGGAAGAACAAGUACCGUUCGAAUAGGGCGGUACCUUGACGGUACCUAACCAGAAAGCCACGGCUAACUACGUGCC